AUUGAACGCUGGCGGCAGGCCUAACACCUGCAAGUCGAGCGAGCGGCGGACGGGUGAGUACUGUCUGGGAAACUGCCUGAUGGAGGGGGAUAACUACUGGAAACGGUAGCUAAUACCGCAUACCAUCAGAUGUGCCCAGAUGGGAUUAGCGAGUAGGUGGGGUAAUGUCUCACAUCGGCGACGAUCCCUAGCUGGUCUGAGAGGAUGACCAGCCACACUGGAACGUAGACACGGUCCAGACUCCGACGUGAGGCAGCAGUGGGGAAUAUGGCACAAUGGGCGCAAGCCUGAUGCAGCCAUGCCGCGUGUGUGAAGAGGGCCUUCGGGUGGUAAAGCACUUUCAGCGGGGAGGCGUUACCCGCAGAAGAAGCACCGGCUAAAUCCGUGCCAGCAGCCGCGGUAAUUC
rnacentral:rRNA from 1 species